CUCGGAAGCUGGCUCCUAUGGGUACUAAAACGCCGUGUAGACCUACCUAGAGAGGCUAAGUGACGUGUCCAAGGUCACACAGGAAGCUGGUGACAGAGCAGGGACUGGACGUCUCCCCAGGGGUUUGCCAUGUCUGCAGAUGGAUCAUUUGAUAAUGGCCCUGUUCUGUUCUUUGCUCUGAAGCAUCUGGCACUGGCCAGUGCUGGAAGACAGGAUUAGUCUGAGCUACCAUGGUUGUUCUUAUGUAUUAAAACUUAUAAGUACUAUUUUAAACAUUAAAUUGAAGCUUCUGAUAAUUGCAUUGCAUACUUGGGGGCAGUAGAAAUGUAUACUUGAGAGAAAAAUACAUGAUAUGCUAAGGGAAAUGCUGUGUCCCCUAAAAUGUCCCUUAAAAUAAAGCAUUGUCUC